UGGGGUAUCGCCAAGCGGUAAGGCAACGGAUUCUGACUCCGUCACUCGCAGGUUCAAAUCCUGCUACCCUAGCCA
rnacentral:tRNA from 1 species